rnacentral:rRNA from 1 species
ACCGGAGCUUGCUCCACCGGAAAAAGAGGAGUGGCGAACGGGUGAGUAACACGUGGGUAACCUGCCCAUCAGAAGGGGAUAACACUUGGAAACAGGUGCUAAUACCGUAUAACAACCAAAACCGCAUGGUUUUGAUUUGAAAGGCGCUUUCGGGUGUCGCUGAUGGAUGGACCCGCGGUGCAUUAGCUAGUUGGUGAGGUAACGGCUCACCAAGGCCACGAUGCAUAGCCGACCUGAGAGGGUGAUCGGCCACAUUGGGACUGAGACACGGCCCAAACUCCUACGGGAGGCAGCAGUAGGGAAUCUUCGGCAAUGGACGAAAGUCUGACCGAGCCAACGCCGCGCUGAGUGAAGAAGGUUUUCGGAUCGUAAAACUCUGUUGUUAAGAGAAGAACAAGGAUGAGAGUAACUGUUCAUCCCUUGACGGUAUCUAACCAGAAAGCCACGGCUAACUACGUGCCAGCAGCACGCGGUAAUACGUAGGUGGCAAGCGUUGUCCGGAUUUAUUGGGCGUAAAGCGAGCGCAGGCGGUUUCUUAAGUCUGAAUGUGAAAGCCCCCGGCUCAACCGGGGAGGGUCAUUGGAAACUGGGAGACUUGAGUGCAGAAGAGGAGAGUGGAAUUCCAUGUGUAGCGGUGAAAUGCGUAGAUAUAUGGAGGA